UAGAACAAAAGUGAAAAAAAAAGGUUACCAUGUAAGACCAAAGCAGUUAACAUGAAUUCAAGAAUCUAUCUGGUUAUUAAAGCAUCCUGAUUGGCUUGAUGAGCUCGGAAGAAACGCAUGGGACAGCCGAUUUAAAAACUGGCCGCCUCCACUCCCUCGGUCGACACGACUACAACCCAUGAAAACGGAUUUUGGUUGCUUGUUUGAAGUGUCCAAAAUCAAGUCUCCGCUUCCUCUUCCCGGCCAAAUCGGGCCUACCUCUCCAAGACGUUCAGCCCGCCCAGGGCCCAGCACCUCCACCACGCAUCUGUCUAGGCCAAGCCCACUGGGAACUUCCAGGGUCCCACAACCUUCCCUUUGUGCAUCCCGCCCUCCGUUUCUCUCCCUGGGAACGUAUCCCACCAUCUCGAGUUCUUUCUUCGUCCACUCUCAUCUUCUUCUCCUUUUGGAGAAAGCUUCCUGUCUCUCUGACUCCGUUUUUCAUUGUGCCGCUUUCCCCUGCCCCACCGAUCCCUUACCGAGGGCCGUCUCCUCAGGAAGCCGUCAGCAGAGACCCAAGAGCUGGAGGACAGGCUUG